rnacentral:rRNA from 1 species
GACGAACGCUGGCGGCGUGCUUAACACAUGCAAGUCGAACGGAAAGGCCCUGCUUUUGUGGGGUUCUCGGGUGGCGAACGGGUGAGUGACACGUGAGUAACCUGCCCUUGACUUUGGGAUAACUUCAGGAAACGAGGGCUACUACCGUAUAGGAGCUCCUGUUGCAGGGUGGGGAUUGGAAAGUUUCGGCGGUUGGGGAUGGACGCGCGGCUUAUCGGCUUGUUGGUGGGGUAGUGGCUUACCAAGGCUUUGACGGGUAGCCGGCAUGAGAGGGUGAACGGCCACAUUGGGCCUGAGAUACGGAGCAGUCUGCUACGGGAGGCAGUAGGCGGGAACAUUGCACAAUGGGCGGAAGCCUGAUGCAGAAACGUUGCGUGCGUGAUGACGGCUUUCGGGUUGUAAACAGCUUUAGCCUGUGACGAAGCGGGAGUGACGGUAAUGGGUAAAGAAGCACCGGCUAACUACGUG